UCAAGCUACAAAGAGCGUAUGGAGGAUGCCUUGGCACUAAACGCCGAUGAAGGACGUAACAAACUGCGAAAAGCCACGAUCAGCUGUUAAUAAGCAUUAUCAGUCGUGGAUAUCCGAAUGUGGAAACACACUUGGUUUAAUAGCCAAGUAUCAUAACAAGAAUAAAUAUUGUUAUGAGGGGAACCUAGGGAACUGAAACAUCUAAGUACCUAGAGGAAAAGAAAGUAAAUUAACGAUUCCCAGAGUAGUGGUGAGCGAAAUGGGAGGAGCCCAAACCAGUGAUAGUAAUAUCGCUGGGGUACGGACCGCGUCAUAGAAUGUAGAGCAUAGACGAAGAUAGUUGGAAAACUGCACAACAUAGGGUAAUAGUCCCGUAGUUUAAAUGCAAAGCAUAUUAGCGGUAUCCAGAGUAACACAGGACACGUGGAAUCCGGUGUGAAGAUAUGAGGACCAUCUCAUAAGGCUAAAUACGAUUUAGUGACCGAUAGCGCAUAGUACCGUGAGGGAACGGUGAAAAGAACCCCGGGAGGGGAGUGAAAUAGAACCUGAAACCAUAUGUUUACAAGCAGACAACGCACUACGGACUUGUCCAGUGCUAUGUCGUACUUUUUGUAGAACGGGCCGGCGAGUUAUUGUAUGUAGCAAGGUUAAGCAUUUAAGAUGCGGAGCCGAAGGGAAACCGAGUCUGAAUAGGGCGAUUUAGUUGCAUAUAAUAUACCCGAAACCUGAUGACCUACCCAUGAGCAGGCUGAAGCGGUGGUAACACAUCGUGGAGGGCCGAACACACGCCUGUCGAAAUAGUCGGUGAUGACUUGUGGGUAGCGGAGAAAUUCCAAUCGAAUCAGGAUAUAGCUGGUUCUCCUCGAAAUAGCUUUAGGGCUAGCCUCUAAUGAAAGAUAGUAGGGGGUAGAGCACUGAAUGGAUGCGGGGCCUUCGCGGGCUACCAAGUCUUAUCAAACUGCGAAUACCUACGAAUUGAUAUUAGGGAGUCAGACUACGAGAGAUAAGUCCCGUGGUCAAAAGGGAAAAAGCCCAGAUCUACAACUAAGGUCCCAAAGAGUUGGUUAAGUGUGGAAGGAUGUGCAAGCGCAUAGACAACCAGGAUGUUGGCUCAGAAGCAGCCACUCAUUAAAAGAGUGCGUAAUAGCUCACUGGUCGAGUGAGUGUGCGCCGAAAAUAAACGGGGCUAAACCAACCACCGAAGUUUGGGGAUUGAUAGCAAUAUCAAUCGGUAGAGGAGCAAUCCAUACGGGCUGAAGCACUAUCGUAAGGGGGUGUGGACUGUAUGGAAGAGAGAAUGCCGGCAUAAGUAGCGAGAGCGUGGUUAUAAUCCACGCCGUCGAAUGUCCAAGGUUUCCUGGGGAAGGUUUGACCACCCAGGGUAAGUCGGGAACUAAGCUCAGGGCGAAAGCCGUAGGCGAUGUACAACUGGUAGACAUUCCAGUACCACUUAAUACUGAUUAAAAGUCGAUGCAGGGACGCAGAAGGAUAGCAUAUCCGCACGAAUGGAAAUGUGCGGCUAAAUCAUGAGUGUGAUAAGAGAGUGAAGUACAUCUUAUUGAUAAGCACAGGUGAUGAUGGCGAGUGAAAUUAGUAACGAAGUAUGUGAAUUCACGCUGACGAGAAAAGCUGCUAGAUAAGUAUUGAGUGCCCGUACCACAAACCAACACAGGUGGACGAUGAGAGAAUCAUAAGACGGACGGGAGAACCUUUGUUAAGGAACUCGGCAAAAUGACCCCGUAACUUCGGGAGAAGGGGUGCCUAUGGCAACAUAGGUCGCAGUGAAACGGCCCAAGCGACUGUUUAACAAAAACACAGGUCUCUGCAAAAUCGUAAGAUGAUGUAUAGGGGCUGACGCCUGCCCGGUGCUGGAAGGUCAAGGUGAAUCGUUAUCCGCAAGGAGAAGCGACGAACUCAAGCCCCAGUGAACGGCGGCCGUAACUAUAACGGUCCUAAGGUAGCGAAAUUCCUUGUCGGGUAAGUUCCGACCUGCAUGAAUGGCGUAACGAUUUGGGCACUGUCUCAACAGAGGACUCGGUGAAAUUGAAGUAUAUGUGAAGAUGCAUAUUACCUGCGACUGGACGGAAAGACCCCGUAGAGCUUUACUGUAGCUUAAUAUUGAAUAUCGGAAUUGCUUGCACAGGAUAGGUGGGAGACUUUGAAGCGCGGACCUCGGUUUGCGUGGAGUCAUCCUUGGGAUACCACCCUUGCGGUUUUGAGAUUCUAACGCGACGCCAUUAUCUGGGUUGCGGACAGUGUUAGGUGGGCAGUUUGACUGGGGCGGUCGCCUCCUAAAGAGUAACGGAGGCGUUCAAAGGUUCCCUCAGGAUGAAUGGAAAUCAUCUUAAGAGUGCAAAGGCAGAAGGGAGCUUGACUGCGACACCCACAAGUGGAGCAGAUACGAAAGUAGGACUUAGUGAUCAGGUGGUUGAAUAUGGAAUUGCCAUCGCUUAACGGAUAAAAGCUACCUCGGGGAUAACAGGCUGAUCCAUCCCAAUAGUUCACAUAGACGGGUGGGUUUGGCACCUCGAUGUCGGCUCGUCACAUCCUGGGGCUGUAGUUGGUCCCAAGGGUUCGGCUGUUCGCCGAUUAAAGUGGCACGCGAGCUGGGUUCAGAACGUCGUGAGACAGUUCGGUCCCUAUCCAUCGUGGGCGUAGGAUAUUUGAGUGGGGCUGCCCCUAGUACGAGAGGACCGGGGUGGACGCACCGAUUGUGCACCUGUUGUCGCGCCAGCGGCAUAGCAGGGUAGCGAAGUGCGGGCAGGAUAAACGCUGAAAGCAUAUAAGCGUGAAACCUUCCACAAGAUAAGAUAUCCCAUAACAUAAGUUAGUAAGACCCCUUGCAGACUACAAGGUAGAUAGGUCAGGAGUGGAAGCGCAGUAAUGCGUGUAGCGGACUGAUACUAAUAGGUCGAGGGCUUGAU
rnacentral:rRNA from 1 species